CUCACCCUCUCGUUUCGGAUGGACCACGCCCUGAUUGUUUUCACCUGUGUCCCCUACCCUAUCUAUCGGCCCUGUCUGUCUCCCUUUGUCUUGUGCUAGUUCGUCUCGUUCCAUCUAUCAGACAGCGUCAGGUCCAUGUUUUUAUAUUGUCCUUUUGUAUCCGAGCCAAGUUUUGUUUGAUGCUCUGUCCUUUUGGAUUUUUGACUAUUACCUGGUUUUUCUCAUCCUCGUCAACCUAUAAGGCUGUGGACAUGGGCAUGAAUGACAUUUCAUCAGGGUCAAAGUUACAGAGCGUGUUACCUGUAUCUCUGCAGACUCCUCAUGGACCUCGGACAGACGGCUGUGCCGCUCCGACCUCCUGGGAAUCCUUCUGUUCCUGUGUGAAGGGAAAGCCAUUUACUCGGCAUGGCAGCUGAAAGUGAUCAGAGUGCCACACAUGGACAUCUGGACCAGGCCCGGUUCUGGGAGGAGAUCCCGGAAGCACAAAGACUCAGUUGGCACCUCCUGCAGGAUGUAAAUCAGCUAAGGAUUCUCGUCAGUCGAGUGCUCCAGCAGUGUGAUACAUGAAUGUAUAGGCCUAUGAACCCGUCUCCUCCUCUUCCUCAGCUCCUGCAGCUGAUGGUGUGCAGCUCUCGUCUGGAGCAGAGGCUGGAGCGCUGUCUCUGGACGCAGAGGGUCUUUAUUCUCAUGGUGACGGUGUUCACAGGUUUUUAGGCAGUCGCUCUGUACGUCCACUUCUCACACGGCUACUCUAUCUGGACCACGGCUAAAACCUGAGGGGAGGGUGCUCUCAAUGUGGCUCUUUUUCUUGUCAUAGCAUGUUAACAAGGGAUUGCACAUUUAAACUGGCAUACAAAUAAACAUAAUCACUAUAUAUAUGCAUAUCUAUUCUAAAAUUAUUCUAAAGGGAUUUUACUUGUAUCAGAGUAUUUCUACUAUUUGGUAUAACUACUUUUACCUGGGUAUGACAUCUGAAACUCCCUGUCUCUAAAGUGAUGCAUGUUUGUUUUGUUAAAGUCCAUUCCAAAAUUCCUUUCUUCUGAAAAAUAAAAAGUAUUAUUCCAAGUAAAUCAAACUCUGCUGGGAUUGUUUGCUUUAAAUCCUGUGGAAAACGCAUAACACUGCAACU